rnacentral:rRNA from 1 species
UACCAGACUCCUACGGGAGGCAGCAGUGGGGAAUAUUGCACAAUGGGGGAAACCCUGAUGCAGCGACGCCGCGUGAGUGAUGAAGUAUUUCGGUAUGUAAAGCUCUCUCAGCAGGGAAGAUAAUGACGGUACCUGACUAAGAAGCUCCGGCUAAAUACGUGCCAGCAGCCGCGGUAAUACGUAUGGAGCAAGCGUUAUCCGGAUUUACUGGGUGUAAAGGGAGCGCAGACGGCAGGGCAAGCCGGCGGUCAAAUCGCGGGGCUCAACCCCGCCCAGCCGUCGGAACUGCCGGGCUAGGGUGGGCGAGAAGUGCGCGGAAUGCGUGGUGUAGCGGUGAAAUGCAUAGAUAUCACGCAGAACUCCGAUUGCGAAGGCAGCGCACCGGCGCCCUACUGACGCUCAGGCACGAAAGCGUGGGUAUCGAACAGGAUUAGAUACCCCAGUAGCA